rnacentral:misc_RNA from 1 species
GAUGAAGAACGCAGCGAAAUGCGAUACGUAAUGUGAAUUGCAGAAUUCAGUGAAUCAUCGAAUCUUUGAACGCAUAUUGCGCUCUUUGGUAUUCCGAAGAGCAUGCUUGUUUGAGUAUCAGUAAACACCUCAAGGACUUCAAUUUAUUUUGAAUGGCUUUGGACUUGAGCAAUCCCAACACCAGUCUUUACGAUCGGUGGAGGGUUGCUUGAAAUGCAGGUGCAGCUGGACAUUCUCCUGAGCUAAAAGCAUAUUUAUUUAGUCCCGUCAAACGGAUUAUUACUUUUGCUGCAGCUAACAUAAAGGGAGUUUGACCGUAUUGGCUGACUGAUGCAGGAUUUCACAAGGGUCGGCAACGAUUCUUGUAAAACUCGAUCUCAAAUCAAGUAAGACUACCCGCUGAACUUAAGCAUAUCAAUAAGCGGAGGA